rnacentral:lncRNA from 1 species
UUUUUUUCUUUCUUUCAUUUACCUAAUUGCAAGGCUAGGCACAACUCCUGACAUGUCAUAGUAUUACUUCAUUCAUACUUCUUAAAUGACAAUAAAUGAAUCUGGUUUCCCUGAGCCAGAAAUACCCUCGGGGUGUACGAUUGGGGUCCAAAUGUAUGUGAAUAAAAACCAGUAAUACAUGCCCCCAGUAAUUGUAUGGAUAAAAAACAAAUCUGUCAGGAAUAACAGCUGUGCGUGUGUAAGGGAGGCAUUCAGGUAGCUAAUCUAACUGGCCUGAAAAGGAUCGUAAAAACCAAGAAUGCAAAGUUCAAAUCCCAAUGUAAAGUCUCCUCCUUUGAACACAUCUCUUUCCCAUCUUACAGGGAAGAUUCAGUCUAUUCUGUUGUAAAACCAGGAACUAACAUUAGAAACUGCAUCAUUUUAUUCAGGCACAUCUUAGUUUGGCUCCCAUAUUCAAUAACCCAUAAACUCAAAAAUCCCAAAGCAGGUCAAACUCAAUAAUAUAUAUGAACCCAUAAAAAAAGAACACCAAUUUUGUUGCAUUGCCUUUGAACCACUGCAAAACAACAUUAGAUAAGGGCCAGCAGACUUUUUUCUGUGAAGGGACAAAAUAGUACAUGGUAAGGCUUAUGGGCCAUACUUAUCAAAAUCAUUGUUGUAGUAUAAAAGCAGUCACUAAAAACAUGCAAUUGAAUGGGCCUUGCUGUGUUGUAAUAAAAUUUCAUUUAUGGAUGUAGACAUUUUAAUUUUACAUAAUUUUAAGUGUCCUUGAAUAUUAUUCUUUUGAAUUUUUCCAACCACAUGCCAAUAUAAAAACAAAUCUUGGCUUUUGAGUACAGAAAAGCAGGUCCUCAGUCAAAACUGACCCAUGGUUCAUAGUUUGCUCACCCCUACAUUAUACCAAUUUUGUUAGCUCUUUUCCUAACUGCAAGCAAAAUGUGAUAUAACUGGCUUCUUUCAUAAAUUUAAAGUGGUAAUGAUAUAUUUUCUCAUGCCAAAAAGAUCACUACUUUAUAAGUACUACACAGUAACUACUCUAGCAUCUUUUAAUCUUUUAAUUAACAUGAAAGAUAAAGAGUAAAAAUAAUUAUUUAAAAUAUCUUCAUGUUAAUAAUUUGAUGGACAGCUAAUUCAGGACUCCAUUAAUCCUAAUUCUGCCACAAACUUAUUGUUCAAUACUUCAAUUUGGUCUUUAUUUUUAAUUGUGAUAAUUUCUGAAUUUAUAAGAGAAAAUAAAGUAUAAUAAUAAAAUAUUAAUAUACAUCCUUGAGACCAAGAUAACUCAUUCAGCCAGCCAUGGUUAAAAAAACAAACAAAAAAAUCACAUAGCACUCUUCCCAUAUUGUCCAAGGAAAAGAAAUCCACGUUGUUUUUACUCAACAGAUAUUUAUCAAGCACAUACUACGUGCAACACAAUAUGAAAUAGAGCAACCUCUCUGGCACGUGUAUGAGAAUGAUUCAUCUUUUUGUGCAUUCACAAAUAAGUGUCUGAAACAGUUAAAUGAAAACUGUCAUCAUUAUUUUGAUAAACCUCAAAAGAAAUGCAACAACCUUUACUCAAGGAUCAAUAUGACCCAGUGCUUUCGAGACUCAAAGUUCUCCAGAGAGUGCUACAGAUUGACAGGAUCCUCUCUCAUCGCUUGAUUUGACGUGAGAUAAAGUGAAAGACACGUAAACCUCAGGCUGAAGAGCCUCAUCUCACACAGUUCCAUAUUGGCCAGACAAGCACCGUGGCUCAAGAAGGCAGGCUACCUCUUCCACAAGUCGAUUGUGAAUUACUCUCUCUAAAUUGGCUCCACAGCUGUGACUUGUAGUUCCUAGAGUACCCUCCAAAUAGCUGGUUGUGGGGGAAGAAAUAAAAGCCUGAAUUUUCCUCAAACACACACCCUUUGGCCAUCUGCCAUCUCAACUCAUGAAGGACAUGCAGAUCUGAAAAGGGACACUUCUGGGACUCUAUCAAAAAAAUGGUAGAUCAAAAGUUUGGCAGAAGGGUUGCUGUCAGGCACUCAAACACAUAACUUAUUCCAAUUCUGGAGACCCACAGAGUAGAUCUGUGAAAUAAACUUGGCUCAAAGGGAGCCUAAAGUACUCAGCCGCAAACAAGGGAGAGUGGGGGAAACUGUACCAAACUUGUUUCUUUUCAAAGGAAAUGAGGAAAGUUUAAGAAAGGAAAACAGAGGAAAGCUAUGGCAAUUACCUCCAAUAUUAACCCCUUUCUGGGAAACUGCAGGAAACUCACAAUCUGGCUAUACAGGGGAGUUUCAAAAACUUGAGUUUCCCUGUCUUUCAGACAACAGAGAGAACGCUCUUAUCUCCUCAACUGCUCGUGAUGGAGAGUUAGGAGAUCUGAAGGUGAAUGAUAAAUGUGCAUGAAAGCUGGUAUUUCAGGGUACACCAGUAACCUGGGCUUAGCUUAAUGUACCACAUCUGUGUAGGUAUGCUAUUUUACACAUACACACACGUAACACAUAUGUAUCAAGAGAGGUAGAAAA